GACGAACGCUGGCGGCGUGCUUAACACAUGCAAGUCGAACGGAAAGGCCCUGCUUUUGUGGGGUGCUCGAGUGGCGAACGGGUGAGUAACACGUGAGUAACCUGCCCUUGUCUUUGGGAUAACUUCAGGAAACUGGGGCUAAUACCGGAUAGGAGCUCCUGAUGCAUGGUGGGGGUUGGAAAGUUUCGGCGGUUGGGGCUGGACUCGCGGCUUAUCAGCUUGUUGGUGGGGUAGUGGCUUACCAAGGCUUUGACGGGUAGCCGGCCUGAGAGGGUGACCGGCCACAUUGGGACUGAGGUACGGCCCAGACUCCUACGGGAGGCAGCAGUGGGGAAUAUUGCACAAUGGGCGGAAGCCUGAUGCAGCAACGCCGCGUGCGGGAUGACGGCCUUCGGGUUGUAAACCGCUUUCGCCUGUGACGAAGCGUGAGUGACGGUAAUGGGUAAAGAAGCACCGGCUAACUACGUG
rnacentral:rRNA from 1 species